AUUCUAAUUUAAUUAGGGAGGAUGACAUAUACUAUAUAUAGAGUUGAGCUGAAAUGUUAUCAGUAGCGAACGAACUCUAUUGUCAUCCAUUUGGUUUUUAUGAUAAAGCCUUCAAAUCGAUAAUCGGUAUCAUUGAAUAUGAUCUACACAACUUUAAGUAUCUUGAAAUCAAAUUUCAAAAUUUUUCAACGUUAUUAACCUACUGAUCAAAGAGUUUCAAAAUUUACAAUUUUAAUGGUCGAUAUGAGGUGUUUUCUCGUUUAACGGUGUAAAGAUAUCCAAAUCAAUUAAAUUUUAGUUAGAAAAUUCUUUAAACUAUUUAGAAUAAGAUCUAUACUAUUGAUCUUGAUUACAAAAUUUCUAUCACCACUUUUUAGAGAGAAUAUUCAUUUUCAGCCUUUCAUUUUUGUGUCUAUUUGAUGGACAAGAGAACAAUAUCAUAAAAGCAUGGAAUUUAGUUUCUACAUAUUUCAAGUGGUAUAAAUCAUUGUCAACGAUACAGAUCAUCGAUUUGGAGGCUUCAUCAUUGAAGAGAGAGAGAGCUUGAGCGGUGCCGAUGCGUUAGAGGCCACAUCAAAUUAAUUAAGCUACGGCUAGAUGCGUAGGCUCUUGCGGUGCUUCAAAUAGAGAGAGCCGAUCGAGCAAGCGUUGGUCACAAAGUCGAGCCGUGAAGACUCCUAAAUAGGGAUGUCAAUGGGUAUGGAUACCCGAAAUUUUAUCUGAAUCCGAACCCGAACCUGAAUGAAACGGAUAUAUCCGAUGAAUAUGGAUAUGGAUUCGGAUAUGGAUAUAAAAAGUAGAAAUCCGCCGGAUAUGGAUUCGGAUAUGAAUUUUGAUUGUACCUGACCGGAACCCGAACCCGAACCCGAACCCAACCCGAUCCCGAAUUUAUUUUGUAUUAUAUAUAUAUAUAUAUAUAUAUAUAUUGAUGUUAUA
rnacentral:lncRNA from 1 species